GGGCCCGGAGCUCAGCUUGGCCAGAGCGGUUGGCUCUUAACCAAUAGGUCGCGCGUUCAAAUCGCGCCGGGCCCG
rnacentral:tRNA from 1 species